rnacentral:rRNA from 1 species
GUGAGUAAUGCCUAGGAAUCUGCCUGGUAGUGGGGGACAACGUUUCGAAAGGAACGCUAAUACCGCAUACGUCCUACGGGAGAAAGCAGGGGACCUUCGGGCCUUGCGCUAUCAGAUGAGCCUAGGUCGGAUUAGCUAGUAGGUGAGGUAAUGGCUCACCUAGGCGACGAUCCGUAACUGGUCUGAGAGGAUGAUCAGUCACACUGGAACUGAGACACGGUCCAGACUCCUACGGGAGGCAGCAGUGGGGAAUAUUGGACAAUGGGCGAAAGCCUGAUCCAGCCAUGCCGCGUGUGUGAAGAAGGUCUUCGGAUUGUAAAGCACUUUAAGUUGGGAGGAAGGGCAGUAAGUUAAUACCUUGCUGUUUUGACGUUACCAACAGAAUAAGCACCGGCUAACUUCGUGCCAGCAGCCGCGGUAAUACGAAGGGUGCAAGCGUUAAUCGGAAUUACUGGGCGUAAAGCGCGCGUAGGUGGUUCAGCAAGUUGGAGGUGAAAUCCCCGGGCUCAACCUGGGAACUGCCUCCAAAACUACUGAGCUAGAGUACGGUAGAGGGUAGUGGAAUUUCCUGUGUAGCGGUGAAAUGCGUAGAUAUAGGAAGGAACACCAGUGGCGAAGGCGACUACCUGGACUGAUACUGACACUGAGGUGCGAAAGCGUGGGGAGCAAACAGGGAUUAGAUACCCUGGUAGUCCACGCCGUAAACGAUGUCGACUAGCCGUUGGGAUCCUUGAGAUCUUAGUGGCGCNGCUAACGCAUUAAGUCGACCGCCUGGGGAGUACGGCCGCAAGGUUAAAACUCAAAUGAAUUGACGGGGGCCCGCACAAGCGGUGGAGCAUGUGGUUUAAUUCGAAGCAACGCGAAGAACCUUACCUGGCCUUGACAUGCUGAGAACUUUCCAGAGAUGGAUUGGUGCCUUCGGGAACUCAGACACAGGUGCUGCAUGGCUGUCGUCAGCUCGUGUCGUGAGAUGUUGGGUUAAGUCCCGUAACGAGCGCAACCCUUGUCCUUAGUUACCAGCACGUUAUGGUGGGCACUCUAAGGAGACUGCCGGUGACAAACCGGAGGAAGGUGGGGAUGACGUCAAGUCAUCAUUGCCCUUACGGCCAGGGCUACACACGUGCUACAAUGGUCGGUACAAAGGGUUGCCAAGCCGCGAGGUGGAGCUAAUCCCAUAAAACCGAUCGUAGUCCGGAUCGCAGUCUGCAACUCGAACUGCGUGAAGUCGGAAUCGCUA